rnacentral:rRNA from 1 species
GACGAACGCUGGCGGCGUGCUUAACACAUGCAAGUCGAACGGAAAGGCCCUGCUUUUGUGGGGUGCUCGAGUGGCGAACGGGUGAGUAACACGUGAGUAACCUGCCCUUGACUUUGGGAUAACUUCAGGAAACUGGGGCUAAUACCGGAUAGGAGCUCCUGCUUCAUGGUGUUGGUUGGAAAGUUUCGGCGGUUGGGGAUGGACUCGCGGCUUAUCAGCUUGUUGGUGGGGUAGUGGCUUACCAAGGCUUUGACGGGUAGCCGGCCUGAGAGGGUGACCGGCCACAUUGGGACUGAGAUACGGCCCAGACUCCUACGGGAGGCAGCAGUGGGGAAUAUUGCACAAUGGGCGGAAGCCUGAUGCAGCAACGCCGCGUGCGGGAUGACGGCCUUCGGGUUGUAAACCGCUUUCGCCUGUGACGAAGCGUGAGUGACGGUAAUGGGUAAAGAAGCACCGGCUAACUACGUG